rnacentral:misc_RNA from 1 species
GAAAUGCGAUAAGUAGUGUGAAUUGCAGAAUUCAGUGAAUCAUCGAAUCUUUGAACGCACAUUGCGCCCUUUGGUAUUCCUUAGGGCAUGCCGGUUCGAGCGUCAUCUAAACCUUCAAGCCCUGCUUGGUGUUGGGUGCCUGUCCCGCCUCCGCGCGCGGACUCACCUCAAAUCCAUUGGCGGCCCCCGCGUCGGCCACGAGCGCAGCAGAAACGCGAACUCGUGAGCCCGUCCGGGCGGCUCCCAGAAGCUACACCCACCCAGUUUGACCUCGGAUCAGGUAGGGAUACCCGCUGAACUUAAGC